rnacentral:lncRNA from 10 species
CGUCUGUCUCUCAGCACUGCUGGGCUUCACAAAGACAGCAGAGAGUUUGCCUGCUCUGUUUGCUGAAGUGUUCAGUGCCCAGAGCUGUGCCAUGCAGGAAACUCAGGGCGCAUUCAGUAGAGCCCUAUUGGGAGAAUGGAUUGGAGGUGUCUGGAUCUUCCCUGCAAGACUGAGGCUAAAGGCAAGCAGCCGGGCUGUAGGAGCUGCAGUGAAGCAGAUGGGCUUAGCACCCCCGGGGCUGGUUGGAGUCUCCGCCCGAUGCUCUAUCAACUGGGUAGCCUGGGAAAAGGCAGUUUAUCUUUCUGUUCUUUAGUUUCCUCCUUGGAAAAUGGGGCAAUAACAGUACAUCUCUCCCAGGGCUGUUGUGAGGAUUAACAAGUAGCGCGCAUGAAGGAACACUUGGCAGGGGCUGGGCAUGCUGGAAGUGUUCAGUAAACGUGGUUUCUACUUGUUAAAGCCGUUGUUAAUAACACCAAUUUUCACAAAAGAAAACCUCUCUGCUUUUUCCUGUGUCUUUUCACUGUUGAUAUAUUUUGAACUUGACCCCUUAUCUUAGAGGUCAUGAAAUGGUACCUCUGUAGGUAAGAAAGCACAGGAUGGCUUUUGCUGUAAAACACUUCAUUUUAUUCCAUUUCUUUCCUACCAGUUUCCUUGGACAGUCACGUGCGUGUGCAGCCGAGAGGACGCUGGACUCCAGGCAGCAGGUUCUGUCGACCCCACCUGGCUGGAUCACCUCAGCCUGCUGUUUCCAUACAGGCAGAGGCCAGUGUCAUCUCCAGCACCUGGGAGACAUAAGAGAAAGAGCCAGUGGCCUUCCUCUGAGACAAUCUCAAAUGAAUAUGCUUGACCCAGAUGAGGGAAGGAUCACACAGAUUCUGUCGAGGUAUGUGGCAGUUGAUAAAUCAUUUUCAAUAAGCUAUUAUUCUCUUACUUAA